UUAGACGAGGAUAACAGUUGGAAACGACUGCUAAGACUGGAUAGGAAGUUUUAAGGCAUCUUGAAACUUUUAAAAGACCCGCAAGGGUAUGCUAAGAGAUGGGCUUGCGGCACAUUAGUUAGUUGGUAAGGUAACGGCUUACCAAGACUAUGAUGUGUAGCUGGACUGAGAGGUUGAACGGCCACAUUGGGAUUGAGAUACGGCCCAAACUCCUACGGGAGGCAGCAGUAAGGAAUUUUCGGCAAUGGAGGAAACUCUGACCGAGCAACGCCGCGUGAACGAUGAAAUAUUUAGGUAUGUAAAGUUCUUUUAUUAAAGAAGAAAAAAUGAUGGAAAAAUCAUUCUGACGGUAUUUAAUGAAUAAGCCCCGGCUAACUAUGUGCCAGCAGCUGCGGUAAUACAUGGGGGGCAAGCGUUAUCCGGAUUUAUUGGGCGUAAAGGGUGUGUAGGCGGUUUAAUAAGUCUAUGGUAUAAGUUCAACGCUUAACGUUGUGAUGCUAUGGAAACUGUUUGACUAGAGUUGGAUAGAGGCAAGUGGAAUUCCAUGUGUAGCGGUAAAAUGCGUAAAUAUAUGGAGGAACACCAGUAGCGAAGGCGGCUUGCUGGGUCUUAACUGACGCUGAGGCACGAAAGCGUGGGGAGCAAACAGGAUUAGAUACCCUGGUAGUCCACGCCGUAAACGAUGAGUACUAAGUGUUGGGUUAAACCAGUGCUGAAGUUAACACAUUAAGUACUCCGCCUGAGUAGUACGUACGCAAGUAUGAAACUUAAAGGAAUUGACGGGACUCCGCACAAGCGGUGGAUCAUGUUGUUUAAUUCGAAGAUACACGAAAAACCUUACCAGGUCUUGACAUACUCUGCAAAGCUAUAGAAAUAUAGUGGAGGUUAUCAGGGAUACAGGUGGUGCAUGGUUGUCGUCAGCUCGUGUCGUGAGAUGUUGGGUUAAGUCCCGCAACGAGCGCAACCCUUAUCGCUAGUUACCAUCAUUUAGUUGGGCACUUUAGUGAGACUGCCAAUGAUAAAUUGGAGGAAGGUGGGGAUUACGUCAAAUCAUCAUGCCCCUUAUGACCUGGGCUACAAACGUGAUACAAUGGCUGUUACAAAGAGUAGCUGAAGCGUGAGUUUUUAGCAAAUCUCAAAAAAACAGUCUCAGUUCGGAUUGAAGUCUGCAACUCGACUUCAUGAAGUCGGAAUCGCUAGUAAUCGCGAAUCAGCAUGUCGUGGUGAAUACGUUCUCGGGGUUUGUACACACCGCCCGUCAAACCAUGAAAGUUGACAAUACUCGAAACCAGUAGCCUAACUUGCAAAAGAGGGAACUGUCUAAGGUAGGGUCGAUGAUUGGGGUUAAGUCGUAACAAGGUAUCCCUACCGGAAGGUGGGGAUGGAUCACCUCCUUUCU
rnacentral:rRNA from 1 species